rnacentral:lncRNA from 13 species
AGCAAACAAACAGGUUUCUCAUAGGGCUCUGUUCAAAAGUAGUGAGAUGCACUGUGUAAUGUUUGAGUUUACAGAGUGGGGGGGAGCGCGGUAAGUUGAGACAUUUUUUACAUUCAGCAUCACUACAUCAAGGGAAUAUAGUAGUCUUUCUAACAAAGUUAUCUACCCAUAUUUCAGGAGGUUGAUUAUCCCGGGAAAUAAACAGAAUGUAUGUAAACAUUACAGUUUUGAAAACAUAGCCUGUCCAAAAAGUGGUCUCUUGACGUAAGGGACCCCUGGACUCUUUCUCAGGUGAAUGUGGGGAUGUUAAAAGAGAGUCACUUGGAAAUGGCAACCUCUCUCCUUCUCUGGACGUAUAUUUCAAGAUAUAGACUAGACCAGAAAGAGGAGUGUGUGUGGGAGUGUGUCAGCAAGCAUCUCUCCCCUGCGGCUAAGCUAAGAGCUCCUGCACAGAGCAGACCAGACUGCUUUAAACAGGCUCUUAACAGGCAUCUCGUAGAUGGCUCUGCCUCCUGCCUCCACCCCAAAGGACACCUUCCCUCCGCCCACACAUUUCCCCAUUGUGCCUGA